rnacentral:rRNA from 1 species
GAAAGAUGAAAAGAACUUUGAAAAGAGAGUUAAACAGUACGUGAAAUUGUUGAAAGGGAAACGAUUGAAGCCAGUCGUACCUAUGGGUAAUCAGCCUUUUGGGUGUGAUUUUGUGGAGCGUGAGGAGUUAAACGCCUUCAUGCCUGCAUAUUCGUGCACUUUGGGUGUACUUGCCCGUAUGGUUGGUUAACAUCAAUUUUGGUGGUCAUAAAAUGACUGGAGGAAUGUAGCUUCGAUCUUGUAUUGAAGUGUUAUA